AAGAUGGCUCGCUUUUAUACACGCCCAGUGCUUUCCUUGACCUAUUUUUGGACAGUUAGAAGUUAUUUUUGUAUCUAGACUUCCCAAUUAACUAUGAUAAUAAAAUGAACAGAGGACUGGGUGUGCUGAGGAGGAAGAGGAGAAAGGCAGCAGCUGGCUGCGUGCUCUCACCCAGGCCAUGUAACACAACAGGGAGAGGGCACUGGGUGUAAGGCUGGUUGGUGUCACAGAAAACCAGCUUACCGAAAAUGCGGAUCGGUGUUACAGCAUACAGAACGGUGGAUGGGGAUUACCUUAAGGCUAUGUUUGUCUGAUGAUCUGUGAGGACUAUCUGGAAGAAAAGAAGAAAUUUGCACAAACCAGGACACGUUACAGGUGUGACAUAUUAGACCUCUACCAGUUCCUUCUCCAUCUGUCUCCCUCCUGACAACUGAUGUGUUUAGCAAUUGAGCUGUGUUAAAGGUUUAUCUGGUUGUUCUGUUAUAGCUUCAACGAGCAUCCGUCUGUAGGCACCCUUGACACUCAGCAGUAUGGCAUCUCUGACCAGGCAGUGCUGAGGAGCACCAAGUUGUCAGAAGAAAAGCAGAAAGCCAGAGGGCAAAUGAAAAAAGAAAAAAAAAAAAAAAAAAGAAAGAAAGGAAAAUGGCUGCCUUUCCACAAGAAAGAGAAAAGCCAAACUGAUUAUGAAAAGACACAAAAUGUACAGAUGUGAUCACAGACCUGGGCCAGAGACACAGGAGAACCUAUCUGCUAAUCUUCUCUUGAGCAAUAACACAUUGCUCACAUUCAAUUUGGAGAUCAGGAUUUACAACAAACAGCUUCUGGACUCCGGCACUGUUCACUGGAAAAUGCCGUGCUCGACACUCCAGCUGUUCCUGACUGCCGGUUACACAGACGUGUCAGCAAACAUCCAUUUCUGUGGGCACUGCGGGUCACUUGACAGGGAAGAUGAAUGAUGUCAUCGGGUUUCCUUUUUUUUCUGGAUGAGUGAUGGGGAGUGAUGCUGACAUUACUAUGCAAGCGUUGUGCAAGGUCCCUUCACGUGGCUCUGCACUUGGAACCGGAUGGCAUCAGCACUGCUAUCCCACACCUAGCUCCUGGAGACGGUCCUUUUAAUUGGGCAUUAUUUUUGGUCCUGGGGACAGUGAAAGGUUGAGGCUGAAAUUUGAGAAUUCGCUUUGAUUUGCAGACAUUUCCAGAAUUUAAAUUCAGAUCUCCCAUAUGGAAAAAGGAAAAAAAAAAAAAAAAAAGAGGAAAGAAAAUCUCUAGUAUAUUGUGUUGCCUCCUCCAUUAUGUAGUAGUUAAUAAUUAAAAACAUGCUGCAAUUGCUUUUGUGAAUUCAUAAUGUGGAGAUAAAGGAUUGCUUCAAGUUGUAAUUUGACAUAAAAUAAUUGCUAUAUUUCAGUUAUUCCUUAGUGAAGCUUAAUUUCUAUUUUUUUUCAAUUUUAAUAAUGCAAAGAAUUAACAUCAGAUGUUUCCCCUGCGCUUGUACAAUUCUGAAGUGCUUUUAUUUAAAAGAAAGUAACACUUCAUAGAGUUUGCUAGAGCACCCCUCCAAAACCCCCCUCACACGGUGUUGUUAUACCCCAGAGCCCCUAAUCCCUCGGGAAGAGCACUGUGUGACCGGCUGCCUUGGGGACUGCUACCACCGAUGGGACGUAGCAGGUCCCUUCGGGCCCUGGAAACGCAGCCUGAUCCAUCAGCAACUCCGGGGGUUUUAUGCCCUGUAAUUGUAUCCUUAGGUGGCUUAAGUUUAUUUAUGUCUCGACACGUACAAGGAACACCAGUAGGCAUCUAACCCCCGGUACGGCCACGAGCAGCGGGUGGCUCGCUUCGGAGCAAUGAUUAUUUGCACCCGAGCUCCCAACCAGGCCUGGGUUCAGGCAGGGCCACAGCUCGGGUUCAGCAGUCCCCAGCCCCACCGAACCGGGUGUCUCUGCAUCCCCGAGGCCAGGC
ensembl:lncRNA